AUUGAACGCUGGCGGCAGGCCUAACACAUGCAAGUCGAACGAGUGGCGGACGGGUGAGUUAUGUCUGGGAAACUGCCCGAUGGAGGGGGAUAACUACUGGAAACGGUAGCUACUACCGCAUACCAUCGGAUGUGCCCAGGUGGGUUUAGCUAGUAGGUGGGGUAACGGCUCACCUAGGCGCCGAUCCCUAGCUGGUCUGAGAGGAUGACCAGCCACACUGGAACUGAGACACGGUCCAGACUCCUACGGGAGGCAGCAGUGGGGAAUAUUGCACAAUGGGCGAAAGCCUGAUGCAGCCAGGCCGCGUGUAUGAAGAAGUCCUUCGGGUUGUAAAGUACGUUAAGCGGGGAGGCGUUACUCGCAGAAGAAGCACCGGCUAACUCCGUGCCAGCCGCCGCGGUAAUAC
rnacentral:rRNA from 1 species